UACGUAAGGGGCAAGCGUUGUCCGGAAUCACUGGGCGUAAAGCGCACGUAGGCGGUUUGUCAAGUUGGGGGUGUAAGCUCUAGGCCUAACCUAGAAAUUGCCUCCAAAACUAGCAUACUUGAGUAUUAGAGGGGAAGCUGGAAUUCACGGUGUAGCGGUGAAAUGCGUAGAUAUCGUGGAGAACACCCGUGGCGAAGGCGGGCUUCUGGCUAAUUACUGACGCUGAGGUGCGAAAGCUAGGGGAGCGAACGGG
rnacentral:rRNA from 1 species